GAUGAACGCUGGCGGCGUGCCUAAUACAUGCAAGUCGAGCGAACAGACGAGGAGCUUGCUCCUUUGACGUUAGCGGCGGACGGGUGAGUAACACGUGGAUAACCUACCUAUAAGACUGGGAUAACUUCGGGAAACCGGAGCUAAUACCGGAUAACAUGUUGAACCGCAUGGUUCAACAGUGAAAGACGGUCUUGCUGUCACUUAUAGAUGGAUCCGCGCCGCAUUAGCUAGUUGGUAAGGUAACGGCUUACCAAGGCAACGAUGCGUAGCCGACCUGAGAGGGUGAUCGGCCACACUGGAACUGAGACACGGUCCAGACUCCUACGGGAGGCAGCAGUAGGGAAUCUUCCGCAAUGGGCGAAAGCCUGACGGAGCAACGCCGCGUGAGUGAAGAAGGUCUUCGGAUCGUAAAACUCUGUUAUUAGGGAAGAACAAAUGUGUAAGUAACUAUGCACGUCUUGACGGUACCUAAUCAGAAAGCCACGGCCAACUACGUG
rnacentral:rRNA from 1 species